ACGGAGGGUGCAAGCGUUAAUCGGAAUUACUGGGCGUAAAGCGCACGUAGGUGGUUUGUUAAGUCAGAUGUGAAAUCCCCGGGCUCAACGUGGGAACUGCAUUUGAUACUGGCAAGCUUGAGUCUCGGAGAGGGAGGCAGAAUUCCAGGUGUAGCGGUGAAAUGCGUAGAUAUCUGGAGGAAUACCGGUGGCGAAGGCGGCCCCCUGGACGGAUACUGACACUGAGGUGCUAAAGCGUGGGGAUCAAACAG
rnacentral:rRNA from 1 species